rnacentral:rRNA from 1 species
AUUGACCGCUAGCGGGAUGCUUUACACAUGCAAGUAGAACGAGUGGCGGACGGGUGAGUAAUAUAUCGGAACGUGCCCAGUAGCGGGGGAUAACUACUCGAAAGAGUGGCUAAUAACGCAUACUAAUGGAGCGGCCGAUAUCGGAUUAGCUAGUUGGUGGGGUAAAGGCUCACCAAGGCAACGAUCCGUAGCUUGUUUGAGAGGAAGACCAGCCACACUGGGACUGAGACACGGCCCAGACUCCUACGGGAGGCAGCAGUGGGGAAUUUUGGACAAUGGGCGCAACCCCGAUCCAACCAUCCCGCGUGUAUGAGAAGGCCUUCGGGUUGUAAAGUACUUUUGGCUGAGAAGCGGUAUCUGCAGAAUAAGCACCGGCUAACUACGUGCCAGCAGCCGCGGUAAUUC